UACGGGAGGCAGCAGUAGGGAAUCUUCCACAAUGGGCGCAAGCCUGAUGGAGCGACACCGCGUGAGUGAAGAAGGGUUUCAGCUCGUAAAGCUCUGUUGUUGAAGAAGAACGUGCGUGAGAGCAACUGUUCACGCAGUGACGGUAUUCAACCAGAAAGUCACGGCUAACUACGUGCCAGCAGCCGCGGUAAU
rnacentral:rRNA from 1 species